AUUGGGGUCAUUGUGGGGUGGGGCGGGAUGGAACCCAAACGUGGGAUGGGUGGGAGCCCAGAUGUGGGAUGGGUGGGACCCCAAAAGUGGGAUGGGUGGGACCCCAAAUGUGGGAUCGAUGGGACCCCAAACGUGGGAUGGGUGGGAGCCCAAAAGUGGGACAAUGAGGUCACUAUAGGAUGGGACAGGAAGGACCCCAAAUGUGGGAUGGAUGGGACCCCAAAUGGGACCGAUGGGAUCCGAUAUGGGAUGGAUGGGAGCCCAAAUGUGGGGCAUUGGGGUCACUAUGGGGUGGGGCGGGAUAGACCCCAAAUGGGACCGAUGGGACCCCAAAUGUGGGAUGGAUGGGACCCCGUAAAUGGGGUAUUGGGGUCAUUAUGGGAUGGGGCGGGAUGGACCCCAAACGUGGGAUGGGUGGGAGCCCAGAUGUGGGAUGGGUGGGACCCCAAAAGUGGGGCAUUGGGGUCACUAUAGGAUGGGAUAUUUGGGAUCCCCAAAAGUGGGAUGGGUGGGACCCCAAAUGUGGGACGGGUGGGACCCCAAAUGGGAUGGAUGGGAUCCGAUAUGGGAUGGAUGGGAGCCCAAAUGUGGGGCAUUGGGGUCACUAUGGGAUGGGGCAGGAUGGACCCCAAAUGUGGGAUGGAUGGGACCCCAAAUGUGGGAUGGAUAGGACCCCAAAAGUGGGACAUUGGGGUCACUGUGGGAUGGGAUAUUUGGGGUCCCCAAAAGUAGGAUCCCAAAUGGGACCGAUGGGACCCCAAAUGUGGGAUGGGGGGGACCCCAAAUGUGGGGCAUUGGGUCACUAUGGGAUGGGACAGGAUGGACCCCAAAAGUGGGACUGAUGGGACCCCAAAUGUGGGAUGGAUGGGACCCCAAAAGUGGGACAGUGGGGUCACUAUGGGAUGGGGCGGGAUGGACCCCAAAUGUGGGAUGGGUGGGAGCCCAGAUGUGGGAUGGGUGGGACCCCAAAAGUGGGACAUUGGGGUCAUUAUGGGAUGGGACAGGAUGGACCCCAAAUGUGGGACUGAUGGGACCCCAAAUGUGGGAAAGCUGGGACCCCAUAAAUGGGGCAUUGGGGUCACUGUGGGAUGGGACAGGAAGGACCCCAAAUGUGGGAUGGAUGGGAGCCCAGAUGUGGGAUGAAUGGAUGGGACCCCAAAAGUGGGACAUUGGGGUCAUUAUGGGAUGGGGCAGGAUGGACCCCAAAUGUGGGAUCGAUGGGACCCCAAAUGUGGGAUGGAUAGGACCCCAAAUGUGGGGCAUUGGGGUCACUGUGGGAUGGGACAGGACGGACCCCAAAAGUGGGAUGGAUGGGAGCCCAAAAGUGGGAAAUUUGGUCACUAUGGGAUGGGAUAUUUGGGGUCCCCAAAAGUAGGAUCCCAAAUGGGACCGAUGGGACCCCAAAUGUGGGGCAUUGGGGUCACUAUGGGAUGGGACAUUUGGGGCCCCAAAUGUGGGAUGGGGGGGACCCCAAAUGUGGGGCAUUGGGUCACUAUGGGGUGGGACGGGAUGGACCCCAAAAGUGGGACUGAUGGGACCCCAAAAGUGGGAUGGAUGGGAGCCCAGAUGUGGGAUGGAUGGGAGCCCAAAGUGGGACAGUGUGUCACUAUGGGAUGGGACAUUUGGGGUCCCCAAAGGUGGGACUGAUGGGACCCCAAAUGUGGGAUGGGUGGGACCCCAUAAGUGGGGCAUUGGGUCACUAUGGGAUGGGACAGGAUGGACCACAAACGUGGGAUGGGUGGGACCCCAUAAGUGGAGCAUUGGGGUCACUGUGGGAUGGGGCGGGAUAGACCCCAAAUGGGACCGAUGGGACCCCAAAUGUGGGACUGAUGGGACCCCAAAUGGGAUGGAUAGGACCCCAAAUGUGGG
rnacentral:lncRNA from 1 species